AUACAUGCAAGUCGAAUGCUUAGCUUGCUAGGCAUGGUGGACGGGUGAGUAACACGUAGGUAAUGUACCCCCCAGUCACGGAUAAGCACCUUCGGGUGUGAAUACGCGAUACGCCUAGCGGUGAAAGAUUUAUCGCUGGGGGAUCAGCCUGCGGCCCAUUAGCUUGUUGGUAAGGUAACGGCUUACCAAGGCUACGAUGGGUAGCUGGUCUGAGAGGAUGAUCAGCCACACUGGGACUGAGACACGGCCCAGACUCCUACGGGAGGCAGCAGUAGGGAAUAUUGGACAAUGGGGGAAACCCUGAUCCAGCUACGCCGCGUGAGUGAUGAAGGCCUUCGGGUUGUAAAGCUCUGUCGUAAGGGAAGAUAAUGACGGUACCUUACAAGA
rnacentral:rRNA from 1 species